ACCCUUUAAUGUUUGAUGUUCUAACGUGGACCCGUGAUCCGGGUUGCGGACAGUGUCUGGUGGGUAGUUUGACUGGGGCGGUCUCCUCCUAAAGAGUAACGGAGGAGCACGAAGGUUGGCUAAUCCUGGUCGGACAUCAGGAGGUUAGUGCAAUGGCAUAAGCCAGCUUGACUGCGAGCGUGACGGCGCGAGCAGGUGCGAAAGCAGGUCAUAGUGAUCCGGUGGUUCUGAAUGGAAGGGCCAUCGCUCAACGGAUAAAAGGUACUCCGGGGAUAACAGGCUGAUACCGCCCAAGAGUUCAUAUCGACGGCGGUGUUUGGCACCUCGAUGUCGGCUCAUCACAUCCUGGGGCUGAAGUAGGUCCCAAGGGUAUGGCUGUUCGCCAUUUAAAGUGGUACGCGAGCUGGGUUUAGAACGUCGUGAGACAGUUCGGUCCCUAUC
rnacentral:rRNA from 1 species